AGGAGGUCUGGAGAGUUAUGUGGC
rnacentral:miRNA from 1 species